rnacentral:lncRNA from 1 species
GUGGUCCAUAGUAGAAAAAGAAGGAGGGGACACCCAAGAGUUGGGCACCACUUGUCUUGCCCUGUUUGGAUUUUCCUUGACUAGGUAUUUGACCUAGACAAAGACUCUUCAUAUCUCAUUAUUUAAGAUAGAUUUCUUCUUGAUAUUUUUAUAGAUUAUAUAGCAUUGAGAUACCUUUGGGGCAUGUAAAAAUCAGGAAGAAAGAGUGUUGGGGCAUGGAGAUAUAAUAGACACAAAACUAGAUGUCUAGG